rnacentral:lncRNA from 1 species
CCGCCCCUAGAAUCCCUUCGUCUCAAACUCUCUCUAGCCCCUCUGAAAUCCUAGCCUUCUCCCACCGAUUUCCACCAUGUUUCAUCGGAAUCCAUGGCAUCCCCAAUCCAUAGGUGGCCUAUACUCACCUCCGCGUGCUCUUGUACAACUGCUACUGGAAGAUUCAAGGUCUGACCUUGAAGUUUUUCGUUCAGAUCGUCGUCGAUUCAAGUUUCACGGCCAUCUCCGGCAUGUCCUGGUUCUAUGAGCCUAUCUCUGGCUCACCUGUCUCUGAGCAGACCCUUUUUCAGG